rnacentral:tRNA from 1 species
AAAAAGAUAAGCUAAAUAAGCUAAUGGGUUCAUACCCCAUUUAUAAAGGUCUUAAUCCUUUUCUUUUUA